UACGAAGGGUGCAAGCGUUACUCGGAAUUACUGGGCGUAAAGCGUGCGUAGGUGGUUUGUUAAGUCUGAUGUGAAAGCCCUGGGCUCAACCUGGGAAUUGCAUUGGAUACUGGCAGGCCAGAGUGCGGUAGAGGAUGGCGGAAUUCCCGGUGUAGCAGUGAAAUGCGUAGAGAUCGGGAGGAACAUCUGUGGCGAAGGCGGCCAUCUGGACCAGCACUGACACUGAGGCACGAAAGCGUGGGGAGCAAACAGG
rnacentral:rRNA from 1 species